rnacentral:rRNA from 1 species
AUGAAGACCCAAAAUGGACAAGUUCUGAAAAAAGACAAGGAGGCCAUUGCUAGCCUACUCGAUACAACCGUAAGAACUGUUGAGAGAAUAUGGGAAAGAGCUCUUAAACAGAUUGAACAAGGGGAGACAGUUGAUGUCUCAAAUCAAAAGCCAGGUAGAGUUGGUCGCAAGCGGAAAGAUUUGGAUCUGUCAAGGGUGGUGACAAUCCCAUUGAAUAGAAUGAGAACAUUGCGAGGUCUGCCAAAGGCAUUGGGUGUAAGCUACACGACCUUACACUCAAGGUUCGAGUGGGGUCAUUUGAGGCGUCACAGUAAUAAGGUGAGGCCCCACUUAAACCUAUCCAACAUUGUAAAGAGAUUGAAAUGGUGCUUGGCUAUGUGUGAAGAUUAUUGGUCUGCGAUACGGGAAUUAGACAACAUAGCCUACAUGGACGAAAAGUGGUUCAACAUGACUGGGGAGGUGAACAACUACUAUUUGCUUCCCGAAGAACCCGACCCCUUGUGCACCUUGCAUCAUAAGGAUAGCAUCGCCAAGGUGAUGUUUCUCGCCGCCGUGGCUAAACCAAGAUACGACGAAGGUGGUUAG